GCCGGCAUAGCUCAGUUGGUAGAGCAACCGCCUUGUAAGCGGUAGGUCACCAGUUCGAUUCCGGUUGCCGGCACCA
rnacentral:tRNA from 1 species